AUCUGCACUGAGACAAGACAAGGAACAACAUGAUGAAGGAGAGACUUGGAGUGUGGACUGGUACAGUGACAGUGUAUCCCUUACCUCUCCAUCUCCAGUUCAGUGUAAUGAAGUGAUUAGUAAUAUUAAUGAUGAUCAUAAGGUGGUUGAACUUGACUCCUCAUCUACUAAUAGUACAGUAUCUCUACUAUCAUCAAAUAAACUGCAUACAGUAAACCUGAGGAGUCUUGAGAUACGGGCCACUCCAUUAACUAAUGAUUGUAUCCAGUACUUGUGUAUACUACUAACUAAUAAUAAAACAAUACAAGAACUAGUCAUCAGGUACCACUCCAUUAGUGAUAGAGGAGUUACUAAUAUCUGUCAAGCACUUGAACACAACUCUACACUUACCUCAUUAGAUCUUUCUUAUAAUCCUCUCAUCACUUCUACUAGUGGAAAAGCUCUUUCUCACCUCCUCCUCAAUAACUCAUCGCUAGUUAAACUGAAUAUAACAGGUACUUCAUUGUCUACUGAGUCAAUACGAUUGAUUCUCCAGUCAUUAUCAAGCAAUAAAAAAAUAAAGAGACUCACAGUAGACAAGCAACACAAAAAGAACUAUCCCCUCAUACAAGACAGAGUAGUCUGGUGGUAACUAAUCACUCUUCGUCUGGGCAAGGUUUACUAGUUUGUUUUGUAUUUUAAUUCAAAUUUAUUAAAAUGCCAAAAUUAAUAUUUAGUGAUAAUGAUAAUACUAAAUCUCAGACUCAAGAGAGUAAAUGCUGAUACUACCUCUUUUUUAUAGUUUUAUUAUCCUAUUAGUUACUCUUCUAUUAUUAUUAUUUACAUUAACACACAUCAUCUUAUAAUUUUAUACCCACACACAUAACUUAUCUCUCUCCCUCAUUGACUGUGGAGUGUGGAGGUAUGACACUAGCUGAUAGACAGUGACUGCAGAGUAAUAGUGUUAGGAUUUGAUGUGUUAACUAAUUAAGAUUUUGUGUUAAAUUAUCAUUGUUACUAUGUUACAUUUAUGUAAUGACUUAAUUUGAUUUUUGUAUAAAUGGGGCUUGUGCUCUGUACUUUUUCUUUUGUCUGUCGUUUUGUCUGU